rnacentral:rRNA from 1 species
UACGGGGGGGGCAAGCGUUGUUCGGAAUUACUGGGCGUAAAGGGCUCGUAGGCGGCCAACUAAGUCAGACGUGAAAUCCCCAGGCUCAACCUGGGAACUGCGUCUGAUACUGGAUGGCUUGAAUUCGGGAGAGGAAUGCAGAAUUCCAGGUGUAGCGGUGAAAUGCGUAGAUAUCUGGAGGAACACCGGUGGCGAAGGCGGCAUCCUGGACCGGUAUUGACGCUGAGGCGCGAAAGCCAGGGGAGCAAACGGG